rnacentral:lncRNA from 1 species
GAGUUAUGCCUAUUCCAAUGAUAUAAUUUUUCAUAAAAAAGUAACAUUCUAUUGUUUAAACUACAACUUUGUGUCUAUAUUCGUAAGCGAAAAACCUUACAAGAAAAUUAGACACCCUAUAUACAUCUCACUUUUUUAUGUAAGCCUAAGCCUAAAAACAAGUUAAAUUUUAAUAACAUAACGUAACAGUCAUAAAUUCUCAUGUACCAAAUAAAAACAGAUAUCUCAUAAUACUUUUCGGUGUACCUUCUUAUAAAAUAGGUUUUUAUAAAACAAGUUUUAUAUGCUGACGGUGCUGACGGUCGAUGGUAAAUGUUUGUGGAAAACAUGACAUUAAAUUAUUUUUAAAAUCAGGCCACUAAUAAUUGCUUAUUGUAUAACCAUUUAAAAUAAUUUCAGUGCUACUUACACCGUCGCCACUUUUAUUUCCAUAUUUUAAUGCAUGUUUGGAUUUUGCGUUUCACAUAUUUUUACUUUUUGUGCAAAUCAAACGUGCACUAAAAUAUAGAAUGUUUAUUAGGGUAAAAAGAGUAAUUAUAUCCAUGUCUUGUUUUCCGUAAAUGUAUAAGGUGUGCUAUCGACAAUGACAUACUCUAGGUAACAAAAAAACAACACUUAUAAGUAAAAAAAAAUCAGGUUUUAGAUAAUUCUGACUUACUAAAUAACAUUAUCACUAAAUAAUUAUUUGUGAAUCAUUUUUACCCAGCAAUGCCUUUUAGAACUCUUCAGAAAUAAAUAUGUGUCCCUGUAUUUUACGAAAAAUUGUUGGAACAUUAAAUUAAAAAAUACUUGCCACACAGUUUACAUUUCAUUUUGAUGUUAUUAGGUAAAAAAAACUUUUUUAAAAAUCAAAAUUCGGGAACAAAGGCAUUGCUGUAUAAAAAGUCUAGCCUCUGUAUAAAAACUUCUAGCCUCCAUAAUCAUGGGCUAGACACUUCAGGCUAUCUUCACGCCGGUAGAAAACGUCACCGAUUGUACUCUGCUUUUCAGCCAAGUGUGUGCCAAAAAAUAGUAAAUCUGGAGCAACAAGUUUCGAAUCCUAUUGAAAAAACAUAUCCCUGAGAUGGUUUCCGCUUUUAAUUAUUGCAUUCAAAUUAGUCCUGCAGUCCUCUUCAGAAAAUUAUACUGGCAAACAUUCAAAACCAUGGUCUCGAUGCUGUACCUUCCAAAUCUGCUUUUUUCUUCAAUUUAAAACUUCAUGGUUGUUCUACACUGUUAGAAAUGUAUUAUUGUUAUGAAGAGAUGCUGUGUAUAAGGUUUUCUAUUGAUGUCUUCACUCACAUUAUUUUAUAAAACAUGGAGACAAUAACAGCAUACAUUUUAAAAAUAUUUUUAGAAACAGAAGGACCAGAAAUAAGUUCCUGGAAAUAUGAACAUCCUGUAUCCAUCAGAAAGAAAAUUCUAUAGAAAUAUCAAUGAGCAAUCCAAGGACUUACUUAUUAUGCUACACAAGAUUGCUAUUUUCGCUGUAUAUGUCUAACAAUAAAUUUGUAAUUAAUUGUGUUAAUAGUAUUUAUAAGGCUAAUAUUUUCCUAAUAAAUUUUAUUAAAGUUUUAA